UCCUAAGGAACUCUUCCAGGGGCCAGAUGU
rnacentral:piRNA from 1 species